CCUACGGGUGGCAGCAGUGGGGAAUAUUGCACAAUGGGGGAAACCCUGAUGCAGCGACGCCGCGUGAGUGAAGAAGUACUUCGGUAUGUAAAGCCCUAUCAGCAGGGAAGAAAAUGACGGUACCUGACUAAGAAGCCCCGGCUAAAUACGUGCCAGCAGCCGCGGUAAUACGUCGGGGGCAAGCGUUAUCCGGAUUUACUGGGUGUAAAGGGAGCGUAGACGGCGGUGCAAGUCUGGAGUGAAAGCCCAGGGCUUAACCAUGGUACUGCUUUGGAAACUGUGCAGCUGGAGUGCAGGAGAGGUAAGCGGAAUUCCGAGUGUAGCGGUGAAAUGCGUAGAUAUUAGGAGGAACACCAGUGGCGAAGGCGGCUUACUGGACUGUAACUGACGUUGAGGCUCGAAAGCGUGGGGAGCAAACAGGAUUAGAUACCCUUGUAGUC
rnacentral:rRNA from 1 species